rnacentral:rRNA from 1 species
AUUGAACGCUGGCGGCAUGCCUAACACAUGCAAGUCGAACGGCAGCACGGGAGCUUGCUCCUGGUGGCGAGUGGCGGACGGGUGAGUAAUGCAUAGGAAUCUGCCCAGUAGCGGGGGACAACUUGGGGAAACUCAAGCUAAUACCGCAUGCGCCCUACGGGGGGAAANCGGGGGGACCUUCGGGCCUCGCACUAUUGGAUGAGCCUAUGUCAGAUUAGCUUGUUGGUGGGUAACGGCCUACCAAGGCGACGAUCUGUAGCUGGUCUGAGAGGACGAUCAGCCACACUGGGACUGAGACACGGCCCAGACUCCUACGGGAGGCAGCAGUGGGGAAUAUUGCACAAUGGGCGAAAGCCUGAUGCAGCAAUGCCGCGUGUGUGAAGAAGGCCUGCGGGUUGUAAAGCACUUUCAGUAGGGAGGAAACAGUAGCCGGUUAAUAUCCGGUUGCCUUGACGUUACCUACAGAAGAAGCACCGGCUAACU